CCUACGGGAGGCAGCAGUGAGGAAUAUUGGUCAAUGGACGAGAGUCUGAACCAGCCAAGUAGCGUGAAGGAUGACUGCCCUAUGGGUUGUAAACUUCUUUUAUAUGGGAAUAAAACGUUCCACGUGUGGGAUUUUGUAUGUACCAUAUGAAUAAGGAUCGGCUAACUCCGUGCCAGCAGCCGCGGUAAUACGGAGGAUCCGAGCGUUAUCCGGAUUUAUUGGGUUUAAAGGGAGCGUAGGUGGAUUGGUAAGUCAGUUGUGAAAGUUUGCGGCUCAACCGUAAAAUUGCAGUUGAAACUGGCAGUCUUGAGUACAGUAGAGGUGGGCGGAAUUCGUGGUGUAGCGGUGAAAUGCUUAGAUAUCACGAAGAACUCCGAUUGCGAAGGCAGUUCACUGGACUGCAACUGACACUGAGGCUCGAAAGUGUGGGUAUCAAACAGGAUUAGAUACCCCUGUAGUC
rnacentral:rRNA from 1 species